rnacentral:rRNA from 1 species
AUUGAACGCUGGCGGCAGGCCUAACACAUGCAAGUCGAGCGGAUGAAGGGAGCUUGCGCCUGGAUUCAGCGGCGGACGGGUGAGUAAUGCCUAGGAAUCUGCCUGGUAGUGGGGGAUAACGUCCGGAAACGGGCGCUAAUACCGCAUACGUCCUGAGGGAGAAAGUGGGGGAUCUUCGGACCUCACGCUAUCAGAUGAGCCUAGGUCGGAUUAGCUAGUUGGUUGGGUAAAGGCCUACCAAGGCGACGAUCCGUAACUGGUCUGAGAGGAUGAUCAGUCACACUGGAACUGAGACACGGUCCAGACUCCUACGGGAGGCAGCAGUGGGGAAUAUUGGACAAUGGGCGAAAGCCUGAUCCAGCAAUGCCGCGUGUGUGAAGAAGGCCUUCGGAUUGUAAAGCACUUUAAGUUGGGAGGAAGGGAAGUAAGUUAAUACCUUGCUGUUUUGACGUUACCAACAGAAUAAGCACCGGCUAACUUCGUG